rnacentral:rRNA from 1 species
AGCCAUCCUUGGGAUACCACCCUUGUAGUACUGGGACUCUAACCAUAGGCCAUGAAUCUGGUCUUGGGACACUGUCAGGUGGGCAGUUUGACUGGGGCGGUCGCCUCCCAAAAGGUAACGGAGGCGCGCAAAGGUUCUCUCAGUACGGUCGGAAAUCGUACGUAGAGUGUAAAGGCAAAAGAGAGCUUGAUUGCAAGACAUACAGGUCGAGCAAGGAUGAAAA